UGACACAUGGUAGUUGAUCUCUUCCUUUCGAUCGGAUUCAGCAUCAGCCAACUCGGGACUUUGAGGGUGCUAUUUCUCUUUUGUUUUUUUUUCUUUUGAUUUUGCUUUUGAUUUUUUUUUUCUUUUUUUUUUUUGAUUUGGAUUUCUUUUGAUUUAGUUUUGCACCCUCCUCUUUCUUUUUUUCUCUUUUUUUUGAUUAUGCCCCAGUUGGCUGUUCUGCUGAUUCUCGAGAUGCAGCUGAGUGAUCUUCUUUUCUUGCUCAAGAAGUCGGGAAAUCUCGUCGGGAAUCCCUUCAACAUCAUCUUCGUCC
rnacentral:lncRNA from 1 species